GAACCGUCCGAACGUUAUUCGGAAUCACUGGGCUUAAAGGGUGCGUAGGCGGCGCGGAAAGUUGGGUGUGAAAUCCCUCGGCUCAACCGAGGAACUGCGCCCAAAACUACCGUGCUCGAGGGAGAUAGAGGUGAGCGGAACUUAGGGUGGAGCGGUGAAAUGCGUUGAUAUCCUAAGGAACACCGGUGGCGAAAGCGGCUCACUGGAUCUCUUCUGACGCUGAGGCACGAAAGCUAGGGUAGCGAACGGGAUUAGAUACCCCGGUAGUCCUAGCCGUAAACGAUGAGCACUGGAUUGGAGGGUCCUCCAUAGCCUUCCAGUCGCAACGAAAGCGUUAAGUGCUCCGCCUGGGGAGUAUGGUCGCAAGGCUG
rnacentral:rRNA from 1 species